rnacentral:sRNA from 1 species
GCACCCCUCACCAUGAUGCUUUUCCCAGGUGGUCUCUGAGCUGAUGAAUUGCGCUGCACCUGGCCCCACAUAAUGACAAAUCUGCCCACGUUUUUUGCAGGUGGCCCAUGCGCUAUGACCAGUGGUGGGAGUGUAAAUUUAUUGCAGAAGGCAUCAUUGACCAAGGGGGUGGUUUCCGGGACAGCCUGGCAGAUAUGUCAGAAGAGCUGUGCCCUAGCUCAGCGGAUACCCCCGUGCCCCUGCCUUUCUUUGUACGCACAGCCAACCAGGGCAAUGGCACUGGUGAGGCUCGGGACAUGUAUGUACCCAACCC